GUGCCAGCAGCCGCGGUAAUACGUAGGUGGCAAGCGUUGUCCGGAAUUAUUGGGCGUAAAGCGCGCGCAGCGCGGUCCUUUAAUCUGAUGUGAAAGCCCACGGCUUAACCGUGGAGGGUCAUUGGAAACUGGGGGACUUGAGUACAGAAGAGGAGAGUGGAAUUCCACGUGUAGCGGUGAAAUGCGUAGAGAUGUGGAGGAACACCAGUGGCGAAGGCGACUCUCUGGUCUGUAACUGACGCUGAGGCGCGAAAGCGUGGGUAGCGAACAGGAUUAGAUACCCUGGUAGUCC
rnacentral:rRNA from 1 species